rnacentral:rRNA from 1 species
UACGAAGGGGGCUAGCGUUGUUCGGAUUUACUGGGCGUAAAGGGUGCGUAGGCGGGUCUUUAAGUCAGGGGUGAAAUCCUGGAGCUCAACUCCAGAACUGCCUUUGAUACUGAAGAUCUUGAGUUCGGGGGAGGUGAGUGGAACUGCGAGUGUAGAGGUGAAAUUCGUAGAUAUUCGCAAGAACACCAGUGGCGAAGGCGGCUCACUGGCCCGAUACUGACGCUGAGGCACGAAAGCGUGAGGAGCAAACAGG